rnacentral:rRNA from 1 species
AGCGAGCACUUUUUUAGAACUCUUCGGAGGGAAGAGAGGGUGACUUAGCGGCGGACGGGUGAGUAACGCGUGGGCAACCUGCCUUACACAGGGGGAUAACAAUUAGAAAUGAUUGCUAAUACCGCAUAAGACCCCAGUACCGCAUGGUACAGAGGUAAAAACUGAGGUGGUGUAAGAUGGGCCCGCGUCUGAUUAGGUAGUUGGUGGGGUAGAAGCCUACCAAGCCGACGAUCAGUAGCCGACCUGAGAGGGCGACCGGCCACAUUGGGACUGAGACACGGCCCAAACUCCUACGGGAGGCAGCAGUGGGGAAUAUUGCACAAUGGGGGAAACCCUGAUGCAGCGACGCCGCGUGAGUGAGGAAGUAUUUCGGUAUGUAAAGCUCUAUCAGCAGGGAAGAAAAUGACGGUACCUGACUAAGAAGCCCCGGCUAACUACGUGCCAGCAGCCGCGGUAAUACGUAGGGGGCAAGCGUUAUCCGGAUUUACUGGGUGUAAAGGGAGCGUAGACGGAUAAGCAAGUCUGAUGUGAAAAUCCGGGGCCCAACCCCGGAAUUGCAUUGGAAACUGCAUAUCUAGAGUGUCGGAGAGGCAAGUGGAAUUCCUGGUGUAGCGGUGAAAUGCGUAGAUAUCAGGAGGAACACCAGUGGCGAAGGCGGCUUGCUGGACGAUGACUGACGUUGAGGCUCGAAAGCGUGGGGAGCAAACAGGAUUAGAUACCCUGGUAGUCCACGCCGUAAACGAUGACUACUAGGUGUCGGGAGGCAAAGCCUUUC